GAUGAACGCUAGCUACAGGCUUAACACAUGCAAGUCGCGGGGCAGCAUGGGGGUUGCUUGCAAUCCCCGAUGGCGACCGGCGCACGGGUGAGUAACGCGUAUCCAACCUGCCCUUCACCACGGGAUAACCCGGCGAAAGUCGGACUAAUACCGUAUGUUGUCCAUUGACGGCAUCCGAUUUGGACGAAAGGCUUGGCGGUGAGGGAUGGGGAUGCGUCCGAUUAGCCAGACGGCGGGGUAACGACCCACCGUGGCUACGAUCGGUAGGGGUUCUGAGAGGAAGGUCCCCCACACUGGAACUGAGACACGGUCCAGACUCCUACGGGAGGCAGCAGUGAGGAAUAUUGGUCAAUGGGCGUAAGCCUGAACCAGCCAAGUAGCGUGCAGGAUGACGGCCCUAUGGGUUGUAAACUGCUUUUAUGCGGGGAUAAAGUGGCCCACGUGUGGGCUUUUGCAGGUACCGCAUGAAUAAGGACCGGCUAAUUCCGUG
rnacentral:rRNA from 1 species